rnacentral:lncRNA from 1 species
UGAUGCCCCUAGGAACUUGUAUGCUUGUGUAUGAGUGUUGUAGAAUAGGUUUAUGCAUGUUUGGAUGAGAGUGGAGGCAUAAAUGCAUAAGGGAGCUGAGUUUCUGCCAUUCUGGGAGAAACCAGGUUCGGCAGCCGAAGGAACUUUCGGCCGCCGAACGUGCUUGUGGAGGCAGCCUUCGGCUGCCGAAGCUUGCCCCCGAAAGGAG